rnacentral:misc_RNA from 1 species
UCUUCAGAUGAUGAUCCCCAGCCUUCUGGCGAUCUGUCCAUAUUGAACCUUGCAAUGGUUUAAGGAAAUUUUAUUCCUUUUUGUCAGUUAUGCCGGGGAGGGUUUUUCCGGUUUAUCCCGGAGGGCUUGUAGCUCAGUUGGUUAGAGCGCGCGCUUGAUAAGCGUGAGGUCGGAGGUUCAAGUCCUCCCAGGCCCACCAAUUUAUGCCUAUUCUCUAAUGAAGGCAGCCUGAAAAUUCUAUAAAGUUUGAUAACUUUGUUGAAGGAUUUUUUAUAUUGUUUAAGAAUUUUUAGGGGCCGUAGCUCAGCUGGGAGAGCACCUGCUUUGCAAGCAGGGGGUC